ACUUUCGCUCUCAUCACCAGCACCAAAUUGAAGAAGUUUUUACAGUCAGUUGCUCUGCUACACCAAAUUUCACACUACACCUUCUAUCACGUAACUGCUCAGGAUGGCCACCUCGGUGUCGUAUAUUAGAGCAUUUAUAGGUCAAUUGUUCUGGAAAUUAACAUGUAUGAUUGAUUUUAUGUAUGGUAAGAUGGGGGAUGGAUGUGAAGACGGCCAAUCAGCUAGAAAAGUUAGAGGACCGACGACAUUGAAGUUUCUGGAUAAUCUAAGGCCAGGAGAGAGGUUUCAAGUUGAAUCUUGGCUUAAUCAACCAGUAGGACCAAGCUCUAGUUACAUGUCUACAUACAUUAGCCACCUAGCUAAAGACGGCAACAACUUACCAUUGACAAUACAACAUUGGACUCAGAUGCCGGCUGCAUCCGUUCUGAAAGCUAUGGUGGAAGUUAAGAAAGUAUUUGACUGCCCGGAUGAUCUGAAUGGUUGGAUUAGAGCUAAGCUGCAAGAUAGGUGGAAGUAUCACAAACAUGCUGUAAAAAAAGAAGGAUUCUAUAAGUACACUACCCAGGAAGAACGUCUUGCUAAUCGACCCAAGGAUGUUGUUGAGAGCCAGUGGGGACCGUUGGUUGAGUAUUGGCAAAAUCCUAAACAAGAAGCAUUAAGUGCUAUGAUGAGAGAAAUCAAGUCUAAACAAACGGUUCACCAAAGUACUGGCUCCAAAUCACAUGUGAAAUAUGCAGCAGAGUUAGAAGCUAAGCUUAAAAGACCCCCUACAGCUCAGGAGAUAUACAAUGCUACCCAUGCGAAGAGAAAGAAGCAAAUGGUGGCCUUUGAACAAAAACCAAGCCAACAAACCUCUGAGAACUCUUCAUCCAGACAAAACGAUGCAAUCUUGCAAUGUGCGGAUCCGGAUUUUAUGACUCCUAUUUCUUCGCCAAAGGAAAUGAAGAUGAGUGCAAAACUAUCUGGUUCUCGGGAAAGAAACACAGUUUCUACAGAUAAACAUGAGUAUCGGCUUCGCUCAAGAUCUAAUUCUAUUCCAACCAGUCUUAUUCCCGUUAUCCAGGAAUCUGUUACAGAAGACAGUGCGGAUAGCAUGCAAGCUGAGUCAGAUGAAUCCCUUGAAGGUUUUGGAUCUGAUAGUACUCCUAUCACAAAACUGUCAAGGAUGGCGGAUGGAAACCAACGAUCAAGAAAAAUUAGAGGGUUGAAGUUUUUGGAUACUCUACGAUCAGGACAGAGACUUAAAGUUGAAUCUUGGCUUAAUUCACCUGUUGGACCAAACUCUACUUCCUUGGCUACAUACAUUAGCCACCUAGCUAAAGAUGGCGACAGAUUUCCAUUGACAAUAUCACAUUGGACUCAGAUGCCAGCUGUUUUUGUUCUGAACGCUAUACUGGAAAUCAAGAAAGUAUUUGAUUACCCGGAUGAUCUGGAUGAUUGGCUUAGAGCUAAGCUGAAUGAUAGGUGGAAGUAUCACAAACAUGCUGUAAAAAAAGAAGGAUUCUAUAAGUACACUACUCAGGAAGAACGUCUUGCUAAUCGACCCAAGGAUGUUGUUGAGAGCCAGUGGGGACCUUUGGUUGAGUAUUGGCAAAAUCCUAAACAAGAAGAGAGAAGUGCUAUGAUGAGAGAAAUCAAGUCUAGACAAACGGUUCACCAAAGUACCGGCUCCAAAUCACAUGUGAAAUAUGCAGCAGAGUUGGAAGCUAAGCUUAAAAGACCCCCUACAGCUCAGGAGAUAUACGAUGCUACCCAUGCAAAGCGAAAGAAGCAAAAGGUGGCCUUUGAACAAAAACCAAGUCAACAAGUCUCUGAGGACUCUUCAACCAGAAAAAAUGAUGCUAUCGUGCAACAUGCGGGACAGGAUUUUAUGACUCCUGUUUCUUCGUCAAAGGAAAUGAAGAUGAGUGCAAAACUGUCUGGUUCUCGGGAAAGAAACACAGUUUUUACUAAUAAACAUGAGUACCGGCUUCGCUCAAGAUCUAAUUCUACUCCAACCAGUCUUAUUCCUGUUAUCCAGGAAAGUGUUACAGAAGACAGUGAGGAUAACAUGCAAGCUGAGUCAGAUGAAUCCCUUGAAGGUUAUGGAUCUGACAGUACUCCUAUCAAAAAGCUGUCAAGGAUGGCGGAUGGAAACCAACGAGCAAACAAAAUUAGAGGAUUGAAGUUUUUGGAUACUCUACAACCAGGACAGAGACUUCAAGUUCAAUCUUGGCUUAAUUCACCUGUUGGACCCAACUCUACUUCCUUGGCUACUUACAUUAGCCACCUAGCUAAAGAUGGCAACAGAUUUCCAUUGACAGUAUCUCAUUGGACUCAGAUGCCAGCUGUUUCUGUUCUAAACGCUAUACUGGAAGUCAAGAAAGUAUUUGAUUACCCGGAUGAUCUGGAUGAUUGGAUUAGAGCUAAGCUGAAUGAUAGGUGGAGGAAUCACAAACAUUUUGUAAAAAAAGAUGGAUUCUACAAGUACAAAACUCAGGAAGAACGUCUUGCUCAUCGGCCCGAGGAUGUUGUUGAGAGCCAGUGGGGACCGUUGGUUGAGUACUGGCAAAAUCCUCACCAAGAGGAAAAAUGCGCCAAGGCUAAAGCAAGCAAGUCUAAACAAACAGUUCAACAAAGCAGCGGCUGCAAAGCACAUGUGAAAUAUGCUAAAGAGUUAGAAGCUAAGCUUAAAAGACCCCCUACAGCUCAGGAGAUAUACGAUGCUACCCAUGCAAAACGAAAGUCUCCUGUUUCUUCGAAAAAGAUGAAGAUGAGUGCAGAAGCUUCUGGCUCUUGGGAAAUAAACACAGUUUCUGCAAAAAACCCUGUGCACCUGCCUCUAUCAAGAUGUAACUCUAUUUCGACCAGUCCUGUUCCCCUGAUCCAGGCAUAUGUUACAGAAGACGACGAAGAUAACAUGCAGGUUAAGUCAGAUGAAUCCGAAGACAGCGAGGAUAACAUGCAAGCAGAGUCAGAUGAAUUCGAAGACAACGAGGAUAACAUGCAAGCAGAGUCAGAUGAAUUCGAAGACAACGAGGAUAACAUGCAAGCAGAGUCAGAUGAAUCCAGGGAAGGUUUUGGCUCUGUUGGGGAACCUGUUGAUGCUGCAAGGACGACAUCCUCUGCUGAACCUGUUGAAGCUGCAAAGACGACGUCCUACGCUACGACUGUUGUCUCCAAUUUGGUGUCUAUUUCCACUCCUAAGGAUAUCUCUUCUCCCUUAGUUGGGUCCACGAGUGUUUCUGGUCGAGGCAGUGAUGAAGAAUUUGAGUUCAUUGACAACUUCAAAAUCCCAAAAGAAUAUGCAGUUUUGUAUAAAAAGAUCUUCGAUAAGUAUGGGCAUAUGGCGACAAAAAAAGUCAUCAAGUCCAAUGAUACUGUAUUGGUGGCAUGUGUUACUAGCUUGUUGAAGAUUAUCUCUACAAUGGAAACUGCGCGGGGUUCGGAUUUAAGUGACGCGCUGCUGGAAAGUUGGGAUGGAGACAUCGAAGAUGUUGAGAACUUGGGAUUCAAUAUUAAAUGGCUUCGAGAUAAGUUUGAUGAAGUUAAGAACAAUUGGAAGUCUUCAUCCGGGUUACGUAAAAAAGUUGAAAUCAAUCAAAAAAAAUUGGAUACGAAGCAGGUUAAACAUGCAAGUCUUUUGGCAAGAAAAGAAGAACUUCAGCGAGAAACUUCAAAGGUCAUUACUGAGAUAAAAAGAUCCGAAGCUGAGAUUUCAACCGAGAAAAAAGCUAUUCAAGAAAAAUUGGGUCCAGAAUGCAAUUUCUUGAAUGAACCUAUCUUAGGGAAGCUGCUCAGUUGAAUGCAACUGAUUUGAACUGUUUUGGUGUGCAUGAUUAGGUAGCUUCUGUAGUGUAGGGGGUGUCUAAGUACUGGUUGCCUAUUUUUGGUAUCUCUAGAUUAUUGUAUUGGAAAGCCCAUACACGGCACUAAUCCAGGCCUGAAGGUCCUAAACCGUCUCAGAUUAGGAAAAGGAAAUCACGGCUGGAAGAAAAUCCAGUUCGUCUGCGUUCUACUGCUGCAAACCCUAGGAGGUCUGAAACUAACAAGUCUAAUAAACGGAGUAGAUAUUCAAGAGAUGAGGGUGUCCGGCAUAGGUCUCAUCCUUUAGACUUGGGCAAAUUUCCUUCCUGGGAUUUCCCUGUUACUGUUGGCGGCAAAAAAAAUCGUUAUGUUGAUAUCCGUAGUCCGGAUGAUAAGCACGUUAUUGGUCUACCCCUUGGAUCGGAUGUUCCUAGAGUGAUUGCUGACAACUACAAAGGCUUGUUGCGUAUGGUGAGUGGUAUGAGAAAUAUCAUUACUGACACAAUUCAAGAAUCAGCUCGGUACCAGAACGUUGCUGCUCUCCUUUCGGGCGAAGUGAAUUACUACCGUCGAGAAUAUAACAAAUUGUUGUCUACGGUGGGUGGUGGUAAACUUCAACAUGUGCUUUCAUCAGGACCUAAGACUGUGCCUGCCGCUACCCUACUGGCCCAGGAAUCCUAUACAAAAGAGAAUGAGAACGACAGACCCCUAGAUAUUGGGAAGGCCUCGCAAGGCAAGGGUGUAGUGGAUAUAAGAAAUCUGUCAUCAUCUCCUGAAGUGGAAACUACGUCAAUUGACUCACUUGAAUCAGGUGAGAUUACUGAUGAACCUAUGGAGGUUGCAAGUAAGACGUCCUUGUCUGAUUGCCCGACUCCUGACUCCACUGCGUUAACUGUUGAUACCAUGGAAAGGUUUGAAUUAUUGGUCAACUGCAAAUUUGUAUAAGAAAAUAUAUGAAAAGUAUGGGCAUAUGGCGACUAAAAAAGUCGUCAGGUUCAAUGAUGAUAUCUUACUCACAUGUGUGACUAGCUUAUUAAAGAUCAUCUCGGCGAUGGAAACUGUGCGGGGUGUGGAACUGAGUGAAGCAUUGCUGGAGACAUGGGAUGGACAUAUCAAAGAUGCAGAGGCCUUGCAAUUCAAUGUUAAAUGGCUUCGUGAAAGAUUUAAUCUACUUAAGAACCAAUGGAAGUCAUCAUUUGAGAUAUAUAAAGAUGUUGAAAGCCAUGAACAAGUACUCGACGCAAUGCAGGGGAAUUAUGUUAGCCUCUGGACUAGAAAAGACAAACUGGAUGCUGAAUUUUCCGACGUAAGGAUUCAGAUAAAGAAAGCUGAAGCGAUGAUUUCAUCUGAACGAGAAGCUAUUCAUGAUAAUCUAGCUCGGAAAAUCAUUUUUCACGAUGAACUUGUUCUAGGAAAAUUUCUAAGUUGAAUGUGUACUCUCUGGCUGGGUAUCAAAAUUGUGUACAUCAAAUAUGUAAUGGUUUCCGACUUUCCGUAAAUUGUAUGAAUAGUUUUUCUUU